GACGAAGGGGGCUAGCGUUGUUCGGAAUUACGGGGCGUAAAGCGCGUGUAGGCGGUUGUCCAAGUUGGAUGUGAAAGCCUUGAGCUUAACUCAAGAAAUGCAUUCAGGACUGGAUGGCUAGAGGACCGGAGAGGAUAGUGGAAUUCCCAGUGUAGUGGUGAAAUGCGUAGAUAUCUGGAGGAACACCGGUGGCGAAGGCGGCGUUCUGGACUGUAACUGACACUGAAGAACGAAAGCCAGGGGAGCAAACGGG
rnacentral:rRNA from 1 species